UUUGCAGCAAACUCUUAUUUUGGCAGCAUAUUUUAUUUUUGUAGUACUUUGAAGUGGUUCCUGUUGAGGAGUUUCUUAAUUCCGAAAAAAAAAGAGAAAAAGACAGUGCUGCAGAAAGAGGGAAAAACAUGACACUCGAGUAGUUGCUACCAAUGUGUGAAGUAGACCCGGUUGAUCGGAGAGUUGAAGUGAAGCUUCGGGAGAGAUUUCAGUUGUGGACCCUUGUUUUAUUGAGGAGAUAAGUUGUUUUAGAUUGUCUUGGUUGGGUUUUUUAGAACCACCUGAACUCACUGGAUUUGGAUCUUCGAUUUGGAUCAUCUUUCUCCUUGACGAAGGAGAUGGCGAGCUGUCGUGGGACCAAGAUAUGGGAUGAACCAAGAAGGAGCCCAUGUUUCCUUCAACCUUCUGGAGAGGGUGCACCUGUGCGGUGGGCCCACUUAGUUUCAUAACUUGAUAAGGAGUGGAGAAUUGACUGGUUUGACUGUUACAACGGACCUGGGACUAUAUUGUGACUGACAGAUUGACAUUUAUGCAUGCGGGAUGACAGUAUAAACUCACAAACUUGAACUGAAGGAUAUAACAAAAUCUGGAUUACCCUUAAAGGGACAAUUUUUUUCUUCAAAGAGAACUGUUCAAAUGUGAUGUUUGGAUCAUUUGUGUUGAAUUGUUAAAUAAUAAUUUUCCUAUGUUACCCUA